rnacentral:rRNA from 1 species
CCUACGGGAGACAGCAGUGGGGGAUAUUGCACAAUGGGGGGAACCCUGAUGCAGCGACGCCGCGUGGGUGAAGGAGUGCUUCGGCAUGUAAAGCCCUAUCGGCAGGGAAGAAGCAAGACGGUACCUGACUAAGAAGCCCCGGCUAACUACGUGCCAGCAGCCGCGGUAAUACGUAGGGGGCGAGCGUUAUCCGGAUUCACUGGGUGUAAAGGGAGCGUAGACGGCCAUGCAAGCCAGGGGUGAAAGCCCGGGGCCCAACCCCGGGCCUGCCCUUGGAACUGUGCGGCUAGAGUGCGGGAGGGGCAGGCGGAAUGCCUGGUGUAGCGGUGAAAUGCGUAGAUAUCAGGAGGAACACCGGCGGCGAAGGCGGCCUGCUGGACUGCGACUGACGUUGAGGCUCGAAAGCGUGGGGAGCGAACAGGAUUAGAUACCCUUGUAGUC